rnacentral:rRNA from 1 species
UACGAAGGAUCCAAGCGUUAUCCGGAUUUAUUGGGUUUAAAGGGUGCGUAGGCGGAUUGAUAAGUCAAUGGUGAAAGCCCGCAGCUUAACUGCGGAAUUGCCGUUGAUACUGUCAGUCUUGAGUACAGUUGAGGUGGGCGGAAUGUGUCAUGUAGCGGUGAAAUGCUUAGAUAUGACACAGAACACCGAUUGCGAAGGCAGCUCGCUAAACUGUAACUGACGCUGAGGCACGAAAGCGUGGGUAUCAAACAGG